GGGGGUGUAGCUCAGACGGCUAGAGCGUUGCCCUGUCACGGCAAAGGCCGCGGGUUCGAGUCCCGUCACUCCCGCCA
rnacentral:tRNA from 1 species